ACAAAAUAAUUGAGUGAGGCGAUCCUUUCGAUGAGGUGCUGGAUUUUCUUUACAUUUCUUGAUGGAGAUAUCUCCAGAAUUGCCUUAAUCUUCUCUAGAUUUACCUCAAUUUCUCAUCAGGAGACUAUAAAUCUGAGAAAUUUUUCAGAGCUAACUCCGAAAGUAUAUUUUGUGGGAUUCAACCGCAUCUAGAAUUGACAUAGGCUAUUGAAGGUUUCAUGAUGGUUGGCUAUGUGAUCUGGGAUGGCUCGACUUUUUACUAACAUAUCAUC
rnacentral:lncRNA from 1 species